CUCUCUCUUGCUCCCUCAUUUGGCCGGCUAACAAAGGAGAAAAACAACUCAAAUUCCAUCCAAAUUUCUUCACCAAAUCUUCUCCAUUUCACUUCAAAUUUCAACCACUCUUAGCUAAUUACUUGGAGAUUACAUCAAGCUAAGAAAGAGGGCUGCUAUCCACGGUUUUCUUGACCAUCUAAGGGGCCGAAAUUCUGUCCUAGUUCAUCAAGAGAGGCACUCAAGGGAAUCUCCCAGAGGAACUCGGAGCGGACACCUAAGACGCUUGUUUAAGAACUACUCGCUUGUUUUGACUAGGGUUCGAGACCAAGGGUGCUCGUGAGUAGUACUAGAUUGUUUUCUUUUGAAAACUUUAAGUUAUAUUAUAACGGAUGGCUAUUGUACCCUUUUCCGUUGGGUUGUAUUUAAGCUUGGAAGCUGCAUAAUUGUAAGUGUGAGAUAUUUGGAGUACUUUAAUUAUGUAUUGAAGUUACUUAAAGUAUUUCGAGCUUUUGAAUGAUGGAUUGUAGUGAGUCCUGGCAAGAGCUGGGCAGGCGUCCCGCGGAUACCCUUUGGUUCGCCUUAGGGAGAAGUGGGGGCGUUACAAGUUGGGCAUUUGAAAAUGCUAUAUCUUGGCAAUAACAUUCGGAAGGUUACUUUUUUGGUUUGUUA